rnacentral:rRNA from 1 species
CACGUAGGGCGCGAGCGUUUGUCCGGAAUUAUUGGGCGUAAAGAGCUCGUAGGCGGCCUGUUGCGUCCCGCUGUGAAAGCCCGGGGCUUAACCCCGGGUCGGCAGUGGAUACGGGCAGGCUAGAGGUAGGUAGGGGAGAAUGGAAUUCCCGGUGUAGCGGUGAAAUGCGCAGAUAUCGGGAAGAACACCGGUGGCGAAGGCGGCUCUCUGGGCCUUACCUGACGCUGAGGAGCGAAAGCGUGGGUAGCGAACAGG